rnacentral:rRNA from 1 species
CCUACGGGGUGCUGCAGUGGGGGAUAUUGCACAAUGGGGGAAACCCUGAUGCAGCGACGCCGCGUGGGUGAAGAAGCGCCUUGGCGCGUAAAGCCCUGUCAGCAGGGAAGAAAAUGACGGUACCUGAAGAAGAAGCCCCGGCUAACUACGUGCCAGCAGCCGCGGUAAUACGUAGGGGGCAAGCGUUAUCCGGAUUUACUGGGUGUAAAGGGGGCGCAGACGGCGAUGCAAGCCAGGAGUGAAAGCCCGGGGCCCAACCCCGGGACUGCUCUUGGAACUGCGUGGCUAGAGUGCAGGAGGGGCAGGCGGAAUGCCUGGUGUAGCGGUGAAAUGCGUAGAUAUCAGGAGGAACACCGGUGGCGAAGGCGGCCUGCUGGACUGCAACUGACGUUGAGGCCCGAAGGCGUGGGGAGCAAACAGGAUUAGAUACCCUAGUAGUC